rnacentral:rRNA from 1 species
GAUGAACGCUGGCGGCGUGCCUAAUACAUGCAAGUCGAGCGAACAGACGAGAGUGCUUGCACUCUCUGACGUUAGCGGCGGACGGGUGAGUAACACGUGGGUAACCUACCUAUAAGACUGGGAUAACUUCGGGAAACCGGAGCUAACACCGGAUAAUAUUUAGCUUCGCAUGAAGCAAUAGUGAAAGACGGUUCUGCUGUCACUUAUAGAUGGACCCGCGGUGUAUUAGCUAGUUGGUGAGGUAACGGCUCACCAAGGCAACGAUACAUAGCCGACCUGAGAGGGUGAUCGGCCACACUGGGACUGAGACACGGCCCAGACUCCUACGGGAGGCAGCAGUAGGGAAUCUUCCGCAAUGGACGAAAGUCUGACGGAGCAAUGCCGCGUGAGUGAAGAAGGUUUUCGGAUCGUAAAACUCUGUUGUAAGGGAAGAACAAGUACGUUAGUAACUGAACGUACCUUGACGGUACCUUACCAGAAAGCCACGGCUAACUACGUG